UGCCUGAUGGAGGGGGAUAACUACUGGAACGGUAGCUAAUACCGCAUAACGUCGCAAGACCAAAGAGGGGGACCUUCGGGCCUCUUGCCAUCGGAUGUGCCCAGAUGGGAUUAGCUAGUAGGUGGGGUAACGGCUCACCUAGGCGACGAUCCCUAGCUGGUCUGAGAGGAUGACCAGCCACACUGGAACUGAGACACGGUCCAGACUCCUACGGGAGGCAGCAGUGGGGAAUAUUGCACAAUGGGCGCAAGCCUGAUGCAGCCAUGCCGCGUGUAUGAAGAAGGCCUUCGGGUUGUAAAGUACUUUCAGCGGGGAGGAAGGGAGUAAAGUUAAUACCUUUGCUCAUUGACGUUACCCGCAGAAGAAGCACCGGCUAACUCCGUGCCAGCAGCCGCGGUAAUACGGAGGGUGCAAGCGUUAAUCGGAAUUACUGGGCGUAAAGCGCACGCAGGCGGU
rnacentral:rRNA from 1 species